rnacentral:ncRNA from 2 species
UUCAUAGGAGUGGGAACAGGUUCUUUGGUUAUCAAGAUCGACCAAGGAUGAAAAGGGAAGUCGGUGAGAAUCCGACACGGUCCCGCCACUGUAUGAGGGGAGUCGGCACAUUUAUUAGCCACUGAUCCAAACGGAUUGGGAAGGUAUGUGCAGAUGAUGAUCCCAAAGUCAGGAGACCUGCCUGUUUCGACGACACUGU